GAUCAUGGCUCAGGAUGAACGCUAGCUACAGGCUUAACACAUGCAAGUCGAGGGGCAGCAUGGCCUUAGCUUGCUAAGGCUGAUGGCGACCGGCGCACGGGUGAGUAACACGUAUCCAACCUGCCGUCUACUCUUGGCCAGCCUUCUGAAAGGAAGAUUAAUCCAGGAUGGGAUCAUGAGUUCACAUGUCCGCAUAAUUAAAGGUAUUUUCCGGUAGACGAUGGGG
rnacentral:rRNA from 1 species